rnacentral:rRNA from 1 species
GAAAGAUUCAUCGGAAGAGGAUGGGCAUGCGGCGCAUUAGCUAGACGGCGGGGUAACGGCCCACCGUGGCGACGAUGCGUAGGGGUUCUGAGAGGAAGGUCCCCCACACUGGUACUGAGACACGGACCAGACUCCUACGGGAGGCAGCAGUGAGGAAUAUUGGUCAAUGGGAGAGAUCCUGAACCAGCCAAGCCGCGUGAGGGAAGACGGCCCUAUGGGUUGUAAACCUCUUUUGUCGGAGAACAAAACCCGGGACGUGUCCCGGACUGCGUGUAUCCGAAGAAAAAGCAUCGGCUAACUCCGUGCCAGCAGCCGCGGUAAUACGGAGGAUGCGAGCGUUAUCCGGAUUUAUUGGGUUUAAAGGGUGCGUAGGCGGUCCGUUAAGUCAGCGGUAAAAUUGCGGGGCUCAACCCCGUCGAGCCGUUGAAACUGGCAGACUUGAGUUGGCGAGAAGUACGCGGAAUGCGCGGUGUAGCGGUGAAAUGCAUAGAUAUCGCGCAGAACUCCGAUUGCGAAGGCAGCGUACCGGCGCCAGACUGACGCUGAGGCACGGAAGCGUGGGGAUCGAACAGGAUUAGAUACCCUGGUAGUCCACGCAGUAAACGAUGAAUGCUGGUUGUCCGGGUCGAAUGAGAUCUGG